UACGUAGGGGGCGAGCGUUGUCCGGAUUUAUUGGGCUUAAAGAGCGUGUAGGCGGUUCGGUAAGUCUGUCGUGAAAUCCUGAGGCUCAACCUCGGGUCUGCAGUCGAUACGGGCAAACUGGAGUGUUGCAGGGGAGACUGGAAUUCCUGGUGUAGCGGUGAAAUGCGCAGAUAUCAGGAGGAACACCGGUGGCGAAGGCGGGUCUCUGGGCAACAACUGACGCUGAGGAGCGAAAGCGUGGGGAGCGAACAGG
rnacentral:rRNA from 1 species